CGUGUCGUGUUUAAAUGCUCGCAGCGUGCUUGGAUCCCUCUGUGUCGUGCGAGUGAAGGACGUUUCUUCUGCCCAAGGAGUUGUUUUUUUCGGAUUAAUGGGAGACCUAGGAGAGAAAAUAAUAGAUUGUUCCUGUCUAUUUGUCUGUUCUCUCCCAGCCUUUCUGAUGUCUACAGGGCUCAGCAUUCCAGGAAAAAACUGUCAUCCUCACAUCCUCCCAGCUGUGAUGUUACUUAUUUGUCACAGCAUGACAGAUAAAUAACAUCAUUUGUGUUUGUAUGUAGCCUUAGAAAUGUUGUACUUUAAUUACAUGAAAUUCAUGUCCCAGGAGGCAUUCUGGCCACUGGUUAGGUUUUUGCUAACUUUUAAAAUUCUUUUAAGUUGAAGAGAGUGCCAGAGUUUACAGCCCUGUGCUGUACUUCCUGAUACGGUCAAUUUAAAACCCUUCAGCUCCAACAUAAAACCAUGUGUCCCAUGUGCUAAGAAACAGGCUGGAUGCCUUCCAAAUACUUCUGAAAAACAUCUUGGAAAGAAAAUGAGCACUUUGCUUGGAAUUGAGCUGUUCAAGGUGAUCAUCUGCUGUGACUCACUGGAAUGGUGCUUGAACUUGGCUGCAAACUGCGGGACCAACAUGUUCAGUGGGCAGAGUUUGUGUGACUGGGGAAUGCAGCACAGCCCAUCCUGGAGCUUUCCUCCUCCCUGCCCACCCCGAAGACUGAAAUCGUGGCAGAAUCUGCUUAGCAUGGCAAUAUAGGCUAAACAGCUUGGAAAACAAUUUCCAAGGUUGUAUAACUGUCAGAAGAGAACAUCUCUUAAGAGCUAUUUGGCUUGGAUAUGAAGUGACACUUGGACAAUGCACAGGAUUUUCUUGGUAGAAGAUGGACUUGUCUGAAUCUGAUUUUAUUUUCCUGCCCUCCUUUCUGAAGAUGCCUUGCUGCAGGGCUGUGUAUGGUAGUUUUGGAAUUCCCUGUUAAUUUUGCAUUUCAAAUUAAUUAUUUUUUUAAAGAGUGAUUAAGACCUGGAGCUUCAUCCUCUCUGCAAGCACACUUGAAUAAAAUGUGGAAACACUUCCAACUUUUCUCAUUCCUAUGAGGCAGCCCUGAGAACACUCUUCUGUGUGGUUUAGCAGUUGUGUACCACUAGUGCUGUGUAUAUGCAUUGUGCUUCUUCUAGAACAAAAUAAAUUACUGUGCUAUAUUGAGAUUAAUGUUCCUGUCCUAGAUGGUGGGCAAGAAAUCCUCUUUUUUGAGGCACAGUCAUGGUUUAGGUAUCUGUUCUAAUGAACAAUUAUUGCUGCAUAGGUAUGGCUGAUUCCCUGCUGCCUUCCUUUCUUCUUCCUGCUCUUUUAGGAGAGUGUGUGUGAGGAUCCAGACUCCAGCACGGGUCAGUUGAGGGCAGGAGGCAUAUUUUGGGCUGCAAAAUGAUAAUUGAUAGAGAACAGGAAUUCUCCCAGCCCGUUUCUUGCUUUCACUCUGCUCCACAACAGUUGUUAUUUGAGCCAGUGUGUAGUGUAACUCUUACAAAGUGCUGUGACAUAGCCCCAAAUCCUCGUGUCCCCUCUUGGCCUUUGGCAGGAUUGUUCCUGGCAGCUUGCUCUGGUUUGAGCAGUCAGGUGACCCUGAUUUUCCCACUCCCACCCCCACACCUUUGUUUUGUAAGCUGGCUGAGUUUCAGCCCUGCAAAGACAGGGUUUUUAACCUGCCACAACUUGGCUGGACUCAUCUAAACGUCACUUGUGACUUGGGGAAGGAAGAGCUGCUUUUGGGAGUAAGAGAAAGGAGACCUUGGGCUGCUCUGGCUUCAGGAUGGCUUAAAAGAUUGUAACCCUGACCUUCUAUCUUCCUGUUUGUCCUGCUGUGUCUGCAGGGCGUGGAACCACCUUCAGCCUGGGAUCCGUUCAAGGCAGCAGGGAGGAAUCACUUCAGCAGGCUCUGAGGCUCAGUUAUCUGAAAUAUGGAAUACAACCAGAGAGAAACAAUAGCGUGUUUGUAUUGUAAUUAUCAAACUAAGAUAAUUCACUUUUAAAUACGUCCAGAUACUUUCACACAAACUUAAAAGCACCUGUUGACUUCUUAAGAAUAUUCUUGGGAUCUACUGAUAGGAGAAAACAGAUUCUCUGUAGAGAUUUGUUUAUAAUAUUCCCUGUAGUACUUGGGAGCCCUGGUGUGUGCUGUUCAUGACGGCUGUGUGGGCUUCCUGUGAAGAGAGCUUGCACAGUUUUCACACCCUGUGUUUGUCAAGUUUGUGUUGGAAGAAGUAGCAUAUGGUACAUGUAACUCUGUGAAGUUUGGAAA